rnacentral:rRNA from 1 species
GAUGAACGCUAGCUACAGGCUUAACACAUGCAAGUCGAGGGGCAGCAUGGUCUUAGCUUGCUAAGGCCGAUGGCGACCGGCGCACGGGUGAGUAACACGUAUCCAACCUGCCGUCUACUCUUGGACAGCCUUCUGAAAGGAAGAUUAAUACAAGAUGGCAUCAUGAGUCCGCAUGUUCACAUGAUUAAAGGUGUUCCGGUAGACGAUGGGGAUGCGUUCCAUUAGAUAGUAGGCGGGGUAACGGCCCACCUAGUCUUCGAUGGAUAGGUGUUCUGAGAGGAAGGUCCCCCACAUUGGAACUGAGACACGGUCCAA